UCUUUCACGCGUCCAACACUUCAUUCCUGCUGCAACCAAUCUCAAGUUUUUAAUUGGGCUGAGACUCAUCAUCCAGCAGCCCAAGUUGAAGAUCACUCCAACCUACAGCUUUUUGUCGAUGCGCAACUCUAGCUGCUUCCUCGUUUCUGAAAGCCAACCCUAAUACUUCCUCACACGUCUGAAGCAACCAGCCGUUAGGGAAGCCCCUUCAUUCUUCACGCAUCCCACACUUGUUAUCCUUUGAGGUUUCUGUUAGGGUUAAGGUCUUGUGUAAAGCUUAUUCUCGUUUUUCUUCUGUUUGCCUUCCUUAUCACGGUUGCCCUUCAUCUAUAAAAGCUCACCCCUUUCCUUAGUUGAGGAUUUCUCCUCCCACUGGAACUCCAACAUUUUCCCGUCGAUUCCACCAAACAAUCCAAAAUUUGAAGGCCAUUCUCCGUCGAACGGAGAACAAUCCCACUGAUUAACAGCGGCGAUGGCGUCAUCACUACCGGUGACGAAAGAUGCAAGACCUCAAGUCCUCAUUUAGUAGAAGGAUAAAUGGGUAGAAGCAGCUACUUGGCAAGAUGUCAUAACUAUCCAACAACAGUUCCCUGACUUCAACCUUGAGGACAAGGUUGUUAAGCCAGGGGGAGUAAUGAUAGAGUAUUAAAGGUGUUUGUUAGAAGAAAUAAAAAUUGACAGUUAGUCAGUUAGAAAAGUCUGGUUGUUAGUGGGUCGUUGCGGGAUGUAAGUAUGGUUUUAGGAAGAGUAUAAAUAAGAAAGGGGGUAGUGUUGUACAAGGGCUAAUUCUUUGACUUCUGUAGAGUGUAAACAGGAAUCAUGAUAGAUCCUGUGAGGGGGAAUUAUUGUCUUCCGUGGACGAGUUCUUUGAGAGAAUAAUAAAAGUCUUUCUCUAUUUCUGUUGUGUGGUUGGUGUGGGUGUGUUUUGCACGAGUGAUUUGGGUUUCUAGCUCUAAGAAACCUAAUAGAUAUUGUGUCAUGAAUUAACUAUCUCAUCAUCAGUUCAGAUUGCUAGUAAGGACAUAUGAUAAAGUAGUUCAAACUUUCAUCCUUAUUGCUAUUACUUCUAAAUGAAGAUAAAUUUUAAAA